rnacentral:ncRNA from 1 species
AAAAGCGAUGAAACAUAAGAUUGCAGCAUUCCCGGCUGGUAACUUAUGCGGAGCAAAUGUCUAGUCAUGAUACAGGCGA